AAGGAGAAAAAUGACUGCUAUAGUUGAACCCAGGACAACCACACAGCAGCUCACACACUCCGUCCCUUCUUCCUCCCAUCCAGUUUGAUGGUAAAGGUUUUGGUUUUGGAGUAUUUUUUCCCUCUCCCAGCUGGAUGUCAACUGCCACCGUUUCACCAUGGUCACCCUUUCUUUUGCCAUGGAAGGACAAAACUGAGGGAAGAAUCCAUUGUGGUCUGCGACACAAGCUUUAUGCCUGUUUUAUUUAACUGCAAUCCAGUUUAAUGGAGCCGGAGCGACUGCACCGGGCCCGGCCCACGCCCCAGGAUCGACCUGAGCCCCCCGCGAAGCUUUUAUUGACUCCUGGCGUCAUGAUGUCACCAGGACCGCGAUGACAUCAUCAGCAUCAUCACUGACACAGUGCCCCAUGGGGCCCCCAGUAACCCCUCCACAACCCCUUUAUGCCUGUUUUAUUUAACUGCAAUCCAGUUUAAUGGAGCUGGAGCGACUGCACCGGGCCCGGCCCACGCCCCAGGAUCGACCUGAGCCCCCUGUGAAGAAGUGCAGCAGCACCGGACAUGGCUGGCCCCGCGGCCCUGGCACCGGGUGACGCUGGUGCUGAGGCAGGAGCUGGGGCAAACGAUGGAGCCCACAACAGCAGCCUGGUCCUGCAGCCGGAACAAACCUUUGCCCAGCUGCUCCUGGACGGCCCCGCACCGAGCUGAGCCCCGCUAAGCUUCAUAGCCGCACAUCUGUUGAAGAUAAAGCCGCGUUUCAGCCAUCGUCGUCGUCGCCGCCGCCACCUUCUCCUCCCUCCUCCCCGGCCGCCGCCACCGCUCCCUCACACCGAGGGGCACCGCUGAUUGGCCGCCAGUCGCUAGGCGGGAAGGCGUCCCCUCAGCUGCGCGCUGUAGCUAAGGGAGAGGCGGCCAGGGAUUAGCCGACGCUGCCCCACCGCCUCCAUGUCCCGCCCUCGCUGUGAGGCGAGCGGCGCAGUGAUUGGCUGGGAGGCGGGAGCGGGCGAGGUUAUAAAAGGGGCGGUGUAGCGAGGGAGGUAUUUUUCCGGCGGCAGCGUCAGGGGCGGAGGCAGCGGCGGAAAGGGCGGAGGCAGCGGCGGAAAGGGCGGAAGUAGCGGCGGAAGUAGCGGCGGAAGGGGCGGCAGGAGCGGCGGCGGGCGAGCUUUAUGCCUGUUUUAUUUAACUGCAAUCCAGUUUAAUGGAGCCGGAGCGACUGCACCGGGCCCGGCCCACGCCCCAGGAUCGACCUGAGCCCCCCGCGAAGCUUUUAUUGACUCCUGGCGUCAUGAUGUCACCAGGACCGCGAUGACAUCAUCAGCAUCAUCACUGACACAGUGCCCCAUGGGGCCCCCAGUAACCCCUCCACAAUCCCUUUAUGCCUGUUUUAUUUAACUGCAAUCCAGUUUAAUGGAGCUGGAGCGACUGCACCGGGCCCGGCCCACGCCCCAGGAUCGACCUGAGCCCCCUGUGAAGAAGUGCAGCAGCACCGGACAUGGCUGGCCCCGCGGCCCUGGCACCGGGUGACGCUGGUGCUGAGGCAGGAGCUGGGGCAAACGAUGGAGCCCACAACAGCAGCCUGGUCCUGCAGCCGGAACAAACCUUUGCCCAGCUGCUCCUGGACGGCCCCGCACCGAGCUGAGCCCCGCUAAGCUUCAUAGCCGCACAUCUGUUGAAGAUAAAGCCGCGUUUCAGCCAUCGUCGUCGUCGCCGCCGCCACCUUCUCCUCCCUCCUCCCCGGCCGCCGCCACCGCUCCCUCACACCGAGGGGCACCGCUGAUUGGCCGCCAGUCGCUAGGCGGGAAGGCGUCCCCUCAGCUGCGCGCUGUAGCUAAGGGAGAGGCGGCCAGGGAUUAGCCGACGCUGCCCCACCGCCUCCAUGUCCCGCCCUCGCUGUGAGGCGAGCGGCGCAGUGAUUGGCUGGGAGGCGGGAGCGGGCGAGGUUAUAAAAGGGGCGGUGUAGCGAGGGAGGUAUUUUUCCGGCGGCAGCGUCAGGGGCGGAGGCAGCGGCGGAAAGGGCGGAGGCAGCGGCGGAAAGGGCGGAAGUAGCGGCGGAAGUAGCGGCGGAAGGGGCGGCAGGAGCGGCGGCGGGCGAGCUUUAUGCCUGUUUUAUUUAACUGCAAUCCAGUUUAAUGGAGCCGGAGCGACUGCACCGGGCCCGGCCCACGCCCCAGGAUCGACCUGAGCCCCCCGCGAAGCUUUUAUUGACUCCUGGCGUCAUGAUGUCACCAGGACCGCGAUGACAUCAUCAGCAUCAUCACUGACACAGUGCCCCAUGGGGCCCCCAGUAACCCCUCCACAACCCCUUUAUGCCUGUUUUAUUUAACUGCAAUCCAGUUUAAUGGAGCUGGAGCGACUGCACCGGGCCCGGCCCACGCCCCAGGAUCGACCUGAGCCCCCUGUGAAGGUAUCCCUUAGUGACCCAGAGCAACCCAUGGACACCUCAUAGAGCCCUGUAGAGCACAGUAGAUCCCCUAUAGACCCACUCAGCCUCAUAGCCUCCCUGUAGACAUCCCAUAGGGUCCCAGAGCGACCCGUAGACAUCCCAGAGCAACUGUUAGCAACCCAUGGACACACCAUAGUUACGUACAGACACCCAUAAACAUCACAUAGUGACCCAUAGACAGUCCCCAGCCAUCCACAGCACCCCAUAGACUCCCUAUAGACACCCCUUAGAGACGCACAGCAACUCCUAGAUACCCCAUAGACCCCACACGUGGCCCCAUGACAACCCACAGAGCUCUGUACGCACCCUGCUCUCCCACAUAGCACCCUAUAGACCCCCUCCCCACCGCCCUGUAGUUCCCUAUAGAAGCACAGCACACACCCCACGGCUUUUAUUGACUUACAGUGUCGUGACGUCACCAGGACUGCGAUGACAUCAGCAGCAGCAGCAUCGUCAACCACCACGGCACCGCAUAGGGCCCCCCUUACCCCGUCGUGCCCCAUAAGUACCCCCACACCAAUCGUUUUUUUUAUUUGCUUUCAUUCAUUUUUAUGAACUUUUGUUCGCUUUUAUUCGAGAUUCAUUCAGGCUCGUUCACUUUUAUUCCUUUUUAUUUGCUUUGUAAUAACUUACAAUCACUUUAUUCACUGUUGCUUUUUGUUGACUUUACGCGGUUUUAUUCAGCUUUAUUUGCCUUUUUAUUCAUUUUUUUCUUCAGA